rnacentral:rRNA from 22 species
CGUAGGUGACCUGCGGAGGAUCAUUA